rnacentral:rRNA from 1 species
AUGCAGCCGCCACCUAGGUAUUAUGUUCCUAGUGGUAUGACAUGUCAUCUUCGUUGCUCUCUAUAUGGUUCUAAGCAAGUCCCUCAUGCCUGGUUUGAGCAUUUCUACUCAGUGGUGACUGCGGCUGGUUUUUCAGCGAGUGCUCAUGAUCCUGCGCUUUUUGUCCACCUUUCAACUCAUGGGCGAACUCUUUUUCUGUAUGUUGAUGGCAUGAUCAUCACUGGCGACGACUCUGAGUGCAUUGCCUUUGUGAAGGCAUGUCUUAGUGAGCAUUUUCUUCUGUAUGAUCUUGGUCCUCUUUGCUAUUUUCUUGGGAUUGAGGUUUCUUCUAUCUCUGAUGACUUCUUUAUUUCCCAAAAGAAUUAUAUCCAUGAUCUUCUUGCUCGUGUUGCCCUUACUGAUGAGCACACAACACACUGUUGA